rnacentral:rRNA from 1 species
GACGAACGCUGGCGGCGUGCUUAACACAUGCCAGUCGAACGGAAAGGCCCUGCUUUUGUGGGGUGCUCGAGUGGCGAACGGGUGAGUAACACGUGAGUAACCUGCCCUUGACUUUGGGAUAACUUCAGGAAACUGGGGCUAAUACCGGAUAGGAGCUCCUGCUGCAUGGUGGGGGUUGGAAAGUUUCGGCGGUUGGGGAUGGACUCGCGGCUUACCAGCUUGUUGGUGGGGUAGUGGCUUACCAAGGCUUUGACGGGUAGCCGGCCUGAGAGGGUGACCGGCCACAUUGGGACUGAGAUACGGCCCAGACUCCUACGGGAGGCAGCAGUGGGGAAUAUUGCACAAUGGGCGGAAGCCUGAUGCAGCAACGCCGCGUGCGGGAUGACGGCCUUCGGGUUGUAAACCGCUUUCGCCUGUGACGAAGCGUGAGUGACGGUAAUGGGUAAAGAAGCACCGGCUAACUACGUG